CAUGGUUUUGUUAAUUUUUGGCUCAUAUUACUCAUUUUUUCUUCGUUAUCUUUUCUUUACUUCCUCUCGCCGGCGAAAAAGUCACAAAUAUCUCUAUUUCUCUCAUUAGAUUUAUCUUAUUUUUGCUGGAUUUUUCCUUUCUUUCUCCUUCUUUCUCUCGGAUUUCUUCACUACCAUAGUUUUUUUUUUUUCCUAUCUCCAAUUCUCUCAUUCGUUGUGCAUCACCACCGAGUCCCACCACCACCAUCAAUACCGAAUCUCGCUAAUUCCAACCUAGUAUCUUCAUCAACAUUUAUCGUUACCACCACCAAGGUUGAACCACUGUCAUCAACACCAAUACCACUCUACCACCUCUUCUCAUAUUUUUCCAACUGCUCUUAUAUCUCCAUCUUCUUUAUCUCCUCCGACACCGGACCGAACCUCUCCGAUAACAAUUCUAGCCUAUGUCAAUUGUUGUUCAUAAUUCUUAAUUUACCGCUAUCAUCAUAUAUUAUUUGGAGCUAAAUAUCACAUGCUAUUU
rnacentral:lncRNA from 1 species